UUUACGGUAAAAUUAGGUAUAACAUACAGGAUGAUGGGUAAGGGUCUACAUUUGGUGUAGCAUACAGGAUGAUGGGUAAGGGUCUACAUUAGGUAUAGUAUACAGGAUGAUGGGUAAGGGUCUACAUUAGGUAUAGCAUACAGGAUGGUGGGUAAGGGUCUACAUUAGGUGUAGCAUACAGGAUAAUUGGUAAGGGUCUACAUUAGGUAUGGCAUACAGGAUGAUUGGUAAGGGUCUACAUUAGGUAUGGCAUACAGGGUGAUGGGUAAGGGUCUACAUUAGGUAUGGCAUACAGGGUGAUGGGUAAGGGUCUACAUUAGGUAUGGCAUACAGGGUGAUGGGUAAGGGUCUACAUUAGGUAUGGCAUACAGGGUGAUGGGUAAGGGUCUACAUUAGGUAUGGCAUACAGGGUGAUGGGUAAGGGUCUACAUUAGGUAUGGCAUACAGGGUGAUGGGUAAGGGUCUACAUUAGGUAUGGCAUACAGGGUGAUGGGUAAGGGUCUACAUUAGGUAUGGCAUACAGGGUGAUGGGUAAGGGUCUACAUUAGGCACAGCAUACAGGGUGAUGGGUAAGGAUCUACAUUAGGUGUAGUAUACAGGAUGAUGGGUAAGGGUCUACAUUGGGUGUAGUAUACAGGAUGAUUGGUAAGGGUCCACAUUAGGUGUAGUAUACAGGAUGAUGGGUA